rnacentral:rRNA from 1 species
UACGGAGGGGGCUAGCGUUGUUCGGAAUUACUGGGCGUAAAGAGCUCGUAGGCGGCUUGUCGCGUCGACUGUGAAAACCCGCGGCUCAACCGCGGGCCUGCAGCCGAUACGGGCAGGCUAGAGUUCGGUAGGGGAGACUGGAAUUCCUGGUGUAGCGGUGAAAUGCGUAGAUAUGUGGAGGAACACCGAUGGCGAAGGCAGCCUUCUGGGCCAACACUGACGCUCAUGCACGAAAGCGUGGGGAGCAAACAGG